ACAGAGGCAUAAUUACCAGGCCCGCCACAAUUUCCCCCCCACUUUUCUCCCCUUCUGUGGAUGAUGCAGUGUUGUACAAUGUCAACAAUCAAACACGGAAAUGAAGGCAGUGCAAAGACCCAGAAGCAUGAAAGAUAAUUAAAAGGAGGCUACAUUACAGGAAUAAAACUUUAUUCCUCAGUUAUGGCACCAUCAAGAGAACCUAUGCUACUGAGACAUGAAAAAGAACACAAUUAGGCUCCAGGAAAGCGACGUGGAAUGGAUAGCUAGACAACCAACUUACAGUAUAUACAUUCUAAACAAUUUUGCCACAGUUAAAAGAUUUGCCACAGGUAUCUUCUCACAGUGCUUCUCAACUUUCCG